rnacentral:lncRNA from 1 species
GUUGGGGCGCCAGGGCUGCGUUCCCGUCUCGCGUCCCGGACUGAGAAGAAAUACUUUCAGAGCUCUUUCAUUCAUCCUGACAAUGGCCAGAGAAGAGCCACUGACAAGACUUUAAGCAAGAGACGGAGAGUUAACAUCUAAUCUGGAGGAAGACCCUGGAAGGAGCCAGCCCCUUCCCCCAGGCUGACCUGGUUUAAGCCUUUCUUCUGCCAAGGUCACCAGCACCCCAGAUGGGUGAGAGAUGUGAUCACUGGUUUCGUGGCCUGACCAAGGACCUCCAAGGAGGUAUCUUUCCCAUCUUGGCCCACAGAGGAGGAAAUCCUAGAAGGGAUGACUGAAGCUUGGGACUAACACAUUGGUGGAUCUGUGCUACCCCCUGCUGGCCGUAGACGGUAUGACAGCCAAGAUAGGGCAAGGCUUCGAGGGGCGAUGGAUGGAUUCACCGCAGCGGCGACAUUUCUGGACUGUUGUCACCUUCAGUGCAGUCACUGGGAAUAUUCAGAACCCAGACAGAGUCUCACUCUGUUGCCCAGGCGGCUGGAGUGCAGUGGUGUGAUCUCAGCUCACUGCGACCUCCGCUUCCCAGAUUCAAGCAAUUCUCCUGCCUCAGCCUCCUGAGUAGCUGGGACUACAGAGCUAUUUGGAGCAUAUGCUGUGUAUAUGUGCGUGUGUGUGUGACACAAAUGAUAGCACACGCUCUACACUGUUCAGCACCUGCUAUUUUCAUGUCAUAAUAUACCUGCCUGUAGAUAGUC